CAGCACGAGAGAUUCAAGAGGAAGAAAUAAGGAAAGAGCGAACAUCGCACCGUUGAAAAACGGAGUUGUUGCGGCAGCGAUGCAUAAGCAAAAUGGUUAGUUUCUAUCUUCUCCCUUUAUGUUUUGUCUAUAAUCCUUUGCCAUCGAUUGAUUUUCCAUGUUUAGGUUGCAGUCUUUAAAUUUGAUUUUGAAGAAUCACAUGGUUAUUACAGUGGAAAACAUAUGGGAGAAGAGAACUAACAAGGCUUAGAGCAUUCACAUGCAUAAUACAACAAUCAACGUACACAUUUGCUUUAAAGACUAUGUCUUCUUCUAAGUUAUGUAGAUGAUACAUUCGAACUUCAGAUGCCUUUAAAACAGUAUAUAUAUGGCAUGCUUUUGGAUCGUCAAUAAUUUG
rnacentral:lncRNA from 1 species